rnacentral:rRNA from 1 species
AGAGUUUGAUCAUGGCUCAGGACGAACGCUGGCGGCGUGCCUAAUACAUGCAAGUUGAACGAUGAUUUCUGGUACUUGUAUCAGAAUGAAGAGUAGCGAACGGGUGAGUAACGCGUGGGUAACCUACCUCUUAGCGGGGGACAACUAUUGGAAACGAUAGCUAAUACCGCAUAACAAUGCUUAACACAUGUUAAGGAUUUGAAAGUACCAAUUGGUACACUAGGAGAUGGACCCGCGUUGUAUUAGCUAGUUGGUAGUGUAAUGGACUACCAAGGCGAUGAUACAUAGCCGACCUGAGAGGGUGAUCGGCCACAUUGGGACUGAGACACGGCCCAAACUCCUACGGGAGGCAGCAGUAGGGAAUCUUCGGCAAUGGACGAAAGUCUGACUGAGCAACGCCGCGUGAGUGAAGAAGGUUUUCGGAUCGUAAAACUCUGUUGUUAGAGAGGAACGUUGUGUAGAGUGGAAAAUUACACAAGUGACGGUAUCUAACCAGAAAGGGACGGCUAACUACGUGCCAGCAGCCGCGGUAAUACGUAGGUCCCGAGCGUUGUCCGGAUUUAUUGGGCGUAAAGCGAGCGCAGGUGGUUUAAUAAGUCUGAUGUAAAAGGCAGUGGCUCAACCAUUGUGUGCAUUGGAAACUGUUAGACUUGAGUGCAGUAGAGGAGAGUGGAAUUCCAUGUGUAGCGGUGAAAUGCGUAGAUAUAUGGAGGAACACCGGUGGCGAAAGCGGCUCUCUGGACUGUAACUGACACUGAGGCUCGAAAGCGUGGGUAGCAAACAGGAUUAGAUACCCUGGUAGUCCACGCCGUAAACGAUGAGUGCUAGUUGUUUGGGGCUAUCCAGCCCUAAGUGACGCAGCAAACGCAUUAAGCACUCCGCCUGGGGA